rnacentral:rRNA from 1 species
UACGAAGGGGGCUAGCGUUGUUCGGAAUUACUGGGCGUAAAGCGUGCGCAGGCGGCUUCUCAAGUCAGGGGUGAAAGCCCGGAGCUCAACUCUGGAACUGCCUUUGAGACUGAGAGGCUUGAGUACGGGAGAGGUGAGUGGAAUUCCCAGUGUAGAGGUGAAAUUCGUAGAUAUUGGGAAGAACACCGGUGGCGAAGGCGGCUCACUGGCCCGUAACUGACGCUCAUGCACGCAGCGUGGGGGAUCAAACAGG